rnacentral:rRNA from 1 species
ACGGAAGGCAGCAGUGGGGAGUAUUGCACAAUGGGCGCAAGCCUGAUGCAGCGAUGCCGCGUGAGGGAAGAAGGUUUUCGGAUCGUAAACCUCUGUCAUCGGGGACGAUAAUGACUGUACCCGAGAAGGAAGCUCCGGCUAACUACGUGCCAGCAGCCGCGGUAAUACGUAGGGAGCGAGCGUUAUCCGGAAUUACUGGGUGUAAAGGGAGUGUAGGCGGGACUGUAAGUCAGAUGUGAAAUAUGCCGGCUCAACUGGCAGACUGCAUUUGAAACUGCGGUUCUUGAGUGAAGUAGAGGUAAGCGGAAUUCCUAGUGUAGCGGUGAAAUGCGUAGAUAUUAGGAGGAACAUCAGUGGCGAAGGCGGCUUACUGGGCUUUAACUGACGCUGAGGCUCGAAAGCGUGGGGAGCAAACAGGAUUAGAUACCCUGGUA